UACGUAGGGGGCAAGCGUUGUCCGGAUUUAUUGGGCGUAAAGAGCGUGUAGGCGGCCAGACAGGUCAGCUGUGAAAACUCGAGGCUCAACCUCGAGACGUCGGUUGAAACCGUUUGGCUAGAGUCCGGAAGAGGAGAGUGGAAUUCCUGGUGUAGCGGUGAAAUGCGCAGAUAUCAGGAAGAACACCCGUGGCUAAGGCGGCUCUCUAGUACGGUACUGACGCUGAGACGCGAAAGCGUGGGGAGCGAACAGG
rnacentral:rRNA from 1 species